UCCGUUCUUGGACGUCGCUAAAGAAGCCUCGGCCUUCAGGCUCUCUUCAUCUCCUCGCUUUCUCCUCGUCAUAGAGAGGAGUACCUGUGGAGGUAUUCUUCUCUAGCGAUAGGCGAGGCAGCUCUGGAAGGCCUGCUGUUCACCGACCUGCAGCCAUUGCUAGCUGGGGGUUCAUCGGGGAAGGAGGAGAAGAAGAACAGAAGGAACAAUCCCUCCGUCUCGUCGAAUCAAGAAUGCCCUCUGAGCCUUGGAAUCCUUGGUCUCCGGCUGGUUUUCUUGCUCACGUUGGUUGGUCUUCUUCUUCUUGGUGGUAAUGGCCGUGAAGGUCUGCUUCAUUCUCUUUCUUUUUUUCUUUCGUUUUUUCUUCUUGGCAUUCGGCUUUAUAUGAGGAGGCUGUGAUGAUUCUUGGAUGAGGUUUUUGCUACAAUGUCGAGAGGGAAAAAAACGGCUAUUUGUAAACGGCGAGGCGAUCUUGGAUGGUCUUCUGUUGUUCUUGUGAAGGCAACCGUUUGCAGCCGUUUCGAUUCAGUUGCAGAGAUUGGUUAAUCUUUGUCUCCUCUUCCUCUUUCUCUUCUCUGCUUUUCUAGUUUCUGGUUUUCUUUUCCAAGAAUUUGUUUUUCUAGGGUUUCUUUAAUUUCUUUAAUAUGACUGGCGUCGCCUCUGAAGAAUUCAUGGCAAACUAGGGUUUCAAGAUCCCAAAUUCUCUUUUGUUUUACUAUUCUGGUUGCUGAAAACUAGAUACCGUAUGCAGUUUCCAAAAUCAAAAAAUAAAUCAUGGCUUUGGUCUCUUAGAUGAAACUGGAAAUUAAACAAAAUGAACUCCAAACUACUACACUUUAUCCUUUGUCUUGUUGGGGGUCGAAGACAGGAAGGGGAGUUUUUGGGGGGCAGGGGGUGGUGUUGUAAUUGUCAAUAAUCUUGAACUAUAGCAAUCACAUUCACAAGUUAACCUAGUAUUUGCAAAAUACAUCAUACUUUUCUCCUACUUAAUGUGAUCCAAAUUUGACCAAUGAAUCCACACAAAUACAUUUAAAUAUGAACUCAAAUAGGGUACGUACAAGGGUCUCAUAAGACGUUACAUUGUUUCUCCAGCAUAUGCAUAUAAUGGAAUGUAAAAUUACAAGCUAGGAUUCAUAUGCUGUCCCCAAUGCUCCAAGUAGAUCUCAUCCAUGUGAAAACAAAUAUGUAUUAACUUUGGAGAUGGUGAAAUAUGUAUUCUCUAUUUUAGUGAGGUUCUGAAAUUCUAUUAUUCUUCUUAAGCAUUUUCUGUGAUACACAAAUUAAAAGCCAUUCACUUACUACUCUGUCUAUCAUCUAAUGCAAGUGUUUUAUAUCAUCACCCUUCUUUAUGGGACAAGAUUAUAAGAUUUUGUUUAAAUACCUGAGAUGACACAGAUCAAUCAAGAACCCUGGGGGGUCAGUGUUAAGUCCUGAUUCCUGAACCUGCUCAGCUAAAGCAAAUGACUAAUUAACAGACCUGUCCAUGUCUUCAUUGAUUAACCUGGGAAGACUGAUGAGAGUUUGUUAAUUUAUUUUUGUAUAGUAGUAGUGUACCUCACCCGAAUUCAUGAUAACGCAGACAUUUUAGCCAUCUCAUAGCCCCUGCUAGUUGAGUUAUAAGCUCAUGCUAUCUUCGGCCCUUUUUUCUUUUUUUUUUCCCCUUUAAUUUUCAGUUGGUGAUUCAGUUUUCAAUUAAGGAGAAUAUAACAUUAGGAGGGGCGCAGUCUGUUGAGGUAUUAUUGGGAAGAGACGUGGACAUUAGGAGGGGCGCAGUCUGCUGAGGUAUUUUUGGGAGAGACAUGUGGCCUAGCGGUGAAGCUCUUAUUGAACCUGCAAAGUAGGUAGUGGCAUCCUUAGAGUAGAAGUGAUAUAAAUGCCCUUAGAAUAGAAUAGAACUUUUAUCAGUCUUAAAAGGAAAAAAAUGAUGCUUUAGUGUGUUUAAGAUUCAAAAUUUUGGACGGCAGGUGCUGAUGGGCUUGGUCCCCAAAGAAAAAAUAAAGGAUCGGGUGGAUGCAAAACUUGUUGUAGAUGGAGCCAAUGGUGUUGCUGGAGAGAGGCUAUAGAACUGAACAAAAAUGAUGAGAGGGUUGGAGUUUUACAUGAGACUGAUGCGAGAUUCAGGUAAGAAGGGAGAAGGUGUACUUAAUGAGAGAUGUGGUGCUGGUUAUGUGCAGGAGAAAGUUGUUCCAUGUGGAUUCGGAAUGGAUGAUGUAGGAAUAAGGUGCCUCCUUUUUUCUUUGCUUAGUAAGUUAGAAGCUUGAUACAUUGAGCUUGUAUUUCCUCUAAUGCUAACUGCAUAGGUUAAUCUAGUGUUUCAAGUGUGCUAGUUCUGAUGGUGAUGCUGACAGGCUUGUUAUUUAUCUGUCUUAUCACAAAGUAGCGGUAGCAUUGAUCUUGUCGAUGGAGAUAAGGUAUUAUCUCUCUUUGCAGUAUUUAUCAAGGAACAAUUAAGUAUUCUUAAUCAGAAGGAAAUGAACUAUGCAAAGAAUGCCCGGCAGGACUUGGCAUUGUUCAGACAGCAUAUGUGAAUGGAGCAUCAACAGAUUUCCUCAAGCAGCUGGGCUUGGAAGUAGUAUUUACUCCUACAGGUGUGAAAUAUUUGCUCAAGAAAGCUUCAGAGUAUGAUAUUGGAAUAUAUUUUGAGGCAAAUGGGCACGGAGCUAUUCUGUUCUCAGAAAAUCUUUUAUCUAGUUAUCAACUAUUCUGUUUAUUUGCUGCAUGAUAGUUGAGAUAAUUGAUAUAGUUCCCUCUCAUGAAAUUUUGUUGUUGAGCAACUAAAAUUCUUUGCUUCUUUACCCAGAGUAGAGUGGCUAAAUUGAACUCCAUCAGUUGUUCAUUACCAAUUUCUAAGCAAUGUCUAUGUCACCAACUGUAAUUUUAAUAUUCUUUAAGAUAUCAAUGUAUUUAUUGUCCAUAUUUAAGACCCAUCUAGAUUUGAUUGGAUGACUUUCUUCCUAGUUUCCUUCUAUUUUUGGUUUUGUGGUUUUGGUUGGGGCAAUUUUUUUUGGGGGUGGGUGGGGUGGUGGGGUUCAUAUCAUAUUGGUGAGUGAAUACAUGUUCAUAUAUAUAAGUGAGAAGAUGGUAGAAGAUCAAUUUUGUUCUUCUAGGGACAUGGAUUUUUCUAUUAGAUUAAGUUGGUAAAUUGAAGUGAUUUAGUUAUUAGUAAUCUUUAGGUAUGGGAUAAGGGUAGGAUGUCUCUAAUUAUAUUAAGGAGUUAAACUUUAAUAAGGAUUUAAAUUGUGCUCAUGAUUAGCAUAGAGUAUUUUAAAAUUGAAGUUAAAUGAAUCAAUUUUGAAUUAAAAAAUUCUGAUUUUAGUUUUGAAAUAAGUAAUUGCUUUUUACAGAUAGAUUAUUAUCUACUAAUAGAGGAUAGCUCAAUGCAUGAGGCUCCUUCCAUUAUGGGGCUUGGUGAGGGUUAGAUAUAUGCAACCUUAUCCCUACAUACAGAGGGGCUAUGUUCUUGUUUUGAAUUCAUGACCUCUAGAUCAUAGUGGAGCAACCUUACUUUUGGCCCAAACAAAAUUCGUUGUAUCGUACCGAACUGGUGGUACGGGGUAUACUGUACCGGUUCGGUACCGAUACAUAGUACGGGACUAUACCGACAUUCGGUAUGCCGAACCGGCCCCACACCAUAUACCGAGACGGCACACCUUAGACCCAAGGCUUCCUCACAGAUUAUUAUCUACUAAUCCCUCACAGGAAAACCCAUAUUUGUGACUUCUUUUUAUUAAUCUGAAGAAUCUAAAACCUGUUGUGUAUAUUGCCUAAUAUAUACAAAUUAAGAGUUGCUUUUGUUAAAAUAUUCCUUUACAGUUUAAAAAUGUGGAAAUAGAUCUGCAGCUGUAAAUUAUCUUGUGCCACAUUCACAUCAGAAUAAAUCAAGCAUCAUGCCUGAUAAAUUGAUCCUUCUAUGGUGUUAUAACUUAUUAAAAAAUUGAAGUUAGCUUUAUCUUCUAAUCUCUUUGUCACCUAUCUCCUUUUUUCCUAAGGGUGCAUCCAACAUCAAAUUAACCACACUUCCUCUAUAUAAGAUGUAAUCAGAAAAAUUUUUAUUAUGUGUAGUAGGUUUCAAUAGGAGAUUUGUUUUAAAAACUUUUUUUGUGGACAUUUUUGGGUUCACUGAUUUUUAUGAUUCUUUUUUACUAAGGUAAAUGUUGUUGUCGCUGCAAACGCAGAAACACAGGUUGUGAAAACAUUGGGACUGCAAGAAGUGAUUGAUGCUGAGACUGGUAAGCAGUUGCUUGUCUGGAAAGUACCUCCGGUUCGCAGUUGCUUGGCUGGAAAGUACCUCUGGUUUGGUUUCCUAUAUAUGGAUUGAUUUUUUAUCUAUCUUUAGAUCUUAUAUGAAAAUUCGUACCUAAUUAGUAUACUCUCUAACCCAUUUGACUGAAAUUUAGGAGAUUUUGAUGAUUAGUAUCCUAAGUUUUGUUUAACAAAUAAAUCACACUUACUGAUUCAUAGCAUUUUCUUUGCUAGAAUUUAUUGCAGCCAAGUAUACUCGAAGGCGAUGUUUUAUCCGACCAUCUUGUACAGAGGAUGUAAUACAUGUAUAUGCUGAGGCAUCCGCACAGCAGGCAGCUGAUAGGCUUGCCCACUCUGUAGCACAACAUGUUGAGCACUUUCUUGGGUUUUGCAGUCCUCACCAGUUGGCUUGAACAGACAAAUUUCCGAAUUUUGGAUGUUUACUUGACAGGUCAUGGUGAGGCAACUCUGGAAGGUCAGCUGUUUUGCAAGCAGCCAUUCUGCAGCUAUUGUUAGAUAGAGAGAUCACUACAGGGAAAGAGGAGGGGGGAAUCUUUUGCUCUGAUCAAUUCAGGCAAUGCGUUGUAGCUGUUUGAUUCAUUGCAGAUGGCCUGAGACUCGCAGAAUUUCUGGAGAAUUGGUGUAUCUGUGCCUCCACUUUCUUUCCCAUUCUAUUAAUUUCUUUACUGGUUUUUCUUGUUUCUUUUGAGAUUUCUUGAGUGAUCAGGAUUUCAUAUUGAUUUUAGUGGUGGGUGAAUAGCUGGUGGCAGAUCUCAAAAAAAAACUAGCUUCAUUAUGCAAGUGUAAAUGCCUGUUUGUAUCACAUUCAGGUAAGACCAAGAAAUGCCGAAGCGAGCCGUACCACCUGAUUCAGGCCGAACCAAGCUAACCCGGUCUCUGACGGGUUAGUUGUGCAGAAAAAAAGUUAUGGGAAAAAGAGUAAGUUGUGAGUUGUUUUUCAAUUGAAACCUCACAUCUCCUAUUGCUUGCUUGUCUUCUCAAACAAUAGGUAAGACCAAGAAAUGUCGAAGCGAGCCGUACCACCUGAUUCAGGCCGAACCAAGCUAACCCGGUCUCUGACGGGGUCAGUUCAGGCAUAUAAAACGGUUCCAACCCCGUAGGCCGGUACAAGAGCGGACCGGAUGGAACCGUUUUAUAUGCCUGAAUCAGUUGUGGCAUUUUUGGCCACAGCGCUCGUGCUGUGGCAUUUUUGGCGACUGGUUCGGUAAUUCUUGGGCAAAACAACACUGGAUGUAGGGAAGGCAAUACUGGACGGUCUGUUGUUCAGCAGACAACUGAUUUUCUGCUACUUUUAGAUAGAGAACAAGCUAGAUGGGAGGGAGCAGAAAUAUUUUUGGUCUGAUCAAUUAAAGGUUUUCUUUGAGCCUGUGAUACUAUAUCUAUUAGUGGUUUUCUUUCUCAAGCUUAUGCCUAGGCUUUUGGGAGUUUAGUUGACAAGAGCCAUCCACUCUCCAAGCCCAUGAUUCUUUGUUUUUCAUUAAUGGCCCUUGUUCUCUUUCUACUCGGUCUUCUCAUGCGGUGUUGGUUGUGUCAGUGUCUUGGUGCUUUUUUCUCUCAAUUUUUUUUUUCUAUUCUUUCUUCCCUCUUUCCUUUGCUCAUCCCAAAGGGGAAAGCGGCAUCACUCCUAGAUUUACAUGAUCAAGCUGUGAUGCUCCAUGAGACAAGGUUUACCUGCAUUUUAAAGCACAAAACAACUAUUUUAAAUGGAAAGAAAAUCUUCGAUGAUCCACAUUCAAUAUGCAACUGUUUGCAGCCAUUUGUUUAGUUUAGAGGGAACUAAUUCUAAAGAUACAUAGUGCCAGUCAAACUUGUGAAUGUGAACCUCUUCUCUUCCUCUACUUCCUUUCCUCACUUUUGUUGAAGAAUUUUGUUUUCUGGGUAUUCUAAAUGUGUUUACCAUGUUUCAUUAUUAUCAUGGUUUGUUCUAGAGGUUCCUCAAGAGUUUAUAGCAUAUGGAUGUGGAUGAAGCAUCUAGGAUUUUGGGAGCCCAGAUUCUCAAAUAUCUCAUUUUACUUGGCAAAAGUUUACGAUCUCGGGACCAAAGUGUAUGUAAGAUUUUAGCAGUUUGGAAAUUUUGUCUCGAUAUUUCUUGUUGUUUUUUCUGGACUCAUUCUUUCACUAGAAUUACUUUUCUUUGCAUAUCUCAAUGGUUUUGGUCUUUCACUCUUUUCUAGAUUCGGUUUAUCUAUUUCCCUUUUUUUCUGUGACAAACGAUAAUUUGAGAGAAUCUCCAAUGCUAUCCUUGACACCUCCAAAUAAAAUUUCAUUUGUAGGAGCUUUACAAAGUAUCAAUAAGAUGCCACAUUUUGCUUUUCUUAAGAGUGCUAUUCUAAUUUAAAUUACUUAGUGGUUGGUGGCUCCAAGAGAUUCUUCAAGUUGUUUUUUCUUUAUGUUAUCUUUUAAGUUGUUCUCUAUGUGGGCUCUGCAAGAGCUCGCAAAGAGUUCUUCGAUGGUGCCAGUAUUAAAAAGUUUUCGUUGAUCAUUGAUGAUGCUCCUGACCUGUUCAAUAUCACAGUUUAAUUCCUUGGUUCCUUAUAUAUAUGUCCACUACAACCAUCCAUGAAUAAAUCAAUAAAAAUCUAAAACUGCAUUCUUCAUAGCUGGAACAAUCUGUUUCUACUAAGGCAAGUGUUGCAGCCUAUUGGAGACCUUAUAUGAUAUCUACUAAAUAGGAAAAUUAAGCCUCCCUCCUCCUCUAACUCAACACACCUUUUCUUUUCUUACAUUUAUAUUCUUUUCUUUGUAUUCCUAAUAUUAUGCUUCAUUUUUUAGCUUGUCAACUUAUGAACUUACAUAUGUCAAGGCCAUACUCUAGACUUCUGGAUUCUUCUUUCACUAAUGGUCAUGGUGACAGUAGUGGUUUGUAUUCCUAAUUCAUUUUUCUUGAUGGAGGUAGAAGUGGCAUCUAUUUCCUUUUUCUCUUUUAUCAUUUCUAAAUUAUAAAGGCAAAGGUGAUUUCUCCAGGAGGGACGAGGCUUGUUGGUUUAGUUAUGCUUUGUGAUGGUCAAAUAAAUUCUAUUAUGAGAGAGUGAUUUGCACAUUUUUACUGCUUGCACUUGAUACUUAUAUUACACACCUAUCUACUUCUUUUGGAAAAUGCCCCAUCCCUCAAUCACCUCAUCAAAAUAAAGAAAAACACUUAAGCACCAAUAUUCUUUCACGAUUUAUCCAGUUGAUAUGCUGGGUACUGAUUUUUUUUGAAUAUAUUUUAAAUAGAUUUGGUUUCCCAUUAUGAAAAAAAUUGGUUUAAUACAUUUCUAUCUAUUGGAUGCAUGAGUUUUCCAUUAUCUAUAUAAACUCUUCAUGCAUAUACACAUGAAAGAAACAUUGUAUUUACAUGCAUAGAUGCAUGCAGCCAUCCAAAUAUUUAUACACAUUACUGCUUGGUAGGUCUGAUUUGUCUAGUUUAUUCAAGACUUGAGAGGAAGGAGCAUUUGAUAGAUGGUUGUAAUCCCAUCAAUCAUGAUAUUUGUAGUAUUUCUGAUAAAGAUACUAGUUUAGUCUAUGUACUCACAUUUCUUUAUCUUUCAUUUAUUAGCGAGUGAAUGUACAUCAAGGGAAACAUUUAUUAAGGCGGAUGCAUCUUUAUACUAGAGGGGUGCGAUGCAUGGUCCCCACAUCCACAUCCAGUUAUGCUGGUCUCUUUUGUUAUACAUAGACAUCGAUAGAUGCAAAUUUUCAUACAUAUAUAGCUAAUAUGUAUAUAACAUACACUUACACUUGACCUUUCAGCAUUUUUCAACAAUCUUGCCAUCAUUUUGGCAGCACUGUAUCUGAUCUCUAUCUAAUUCCUUCCCUACACAGUAGGUUCAACCCCAAGGGUUGCUCAUUCUCCUCUCAUCUUUAUUAGAGCAUUUAAAAUAUGUAGAAUUGUUGUAUCAACAUAGAUUCUAUUAUGCACCAUAAUUUAUUUUCUAAGAUAGAUUAUGAAUCUUUGCUCUUCAAGUUGCCCACAGCAAACUGCUUUGGCUAUAAAAGAAGCAACUCCAUUCUAUGCAUCUUGCUCUACCUAUCUUUUAAGAUAACACUAGUUCAUCUAAAUUGGAGAAACCUCCUUUCAUUUAUGGCUAUUGAGAGAAGAGCAUUUUUUAAUUUUCUUUUGAAUAAAGAUGAAAGAAGCAACCUUAUUCUAAACAAUAUUCAUCAUAAUCUUUUGUAUCUAGUGAUAAUACAAUUUCUCAUAGAAAAGCUACAUGUUCUAUCCUCUUGCACUUUCAUGUCUUACCAUGCCAUGUCAGACUGGUUUAGUAAAAUUACAGCUAAUAUGAUUUCUGUAACCUAGUAGAAGCUAAUUAAUGCAUCCAGUCUUGAUGGUUAUAUUUUUGUGAUAUGGUCAUUUUGUGGUGGGAUAUAUGGAGAUCAUCACUAGCCAUCUAGUAUAUCCAAAAAGAAGAGUCAUGGGUUGGAUCGCAUGUAAGGAGUGGAAUGAAUAGUUUGGUGCAUGGGUGGUGUAAAGUUUUAUGUGCAAGUAGGUAUUCUUGAGAUGAGGUAACAUCAAAGGGAAGGUGGAGGAUGGAGGAAAUUGGAGGAAAAUAGAACCGUCCGAUAUGGUUUUUAAUAGUUCAUUGGAGAUGGAGGCAUGGAAAAAAUUGGAGAACAGGAAAUUGUAUUAGCAGAUAAGAGACUAUUAAUGAUCAUGUAGGGGAGGGUGUGAGGUGUAGGGGAGGGUGUGUCAAAUGGAUCGAAAUUGAAGCAUAAGAGUCUUGGAUAAGCAUCUUUCUGCAGUAAUUGUUUGGGUUCAUGGGCGAGGGGUUACCAGCCUAAAAUUGAUUUCUGAUUAAAGCAGUUAGAAGGAUAGUUCUAAUUGAAAUUUUGUGGUUCAUCUGUGGAGUGUGAAAGAAAGCGAAAGUUUUAGGUGUUUUAAUUUGCAGUUUGGAGAUUUUGAAGAUGGGUCUAUAAUGUAGGCUAGCUUAAACUACUGCACAAAACCUGGGGUUAAGUAGUAUAAUUUAAGGCAAAUGGCCCAAUUCUGACAUUCAAAGGGUUGACAAAUGUUGCGAAUUUAGGUAGGUUAACUCAGGGUUUAGGAGAGAAUGAAACAAGUAUUAAAUAUGAAGUCAAAUUGGGGGAAAUUUUAUUACAAAUAGAUUAUGGGGGUCCAUUUGUUGAAAGUUUGAAUGACAUGCUUUUUGGUCAACCCUCUAUGGUUAGGGUCUAGAUAAUGUUAAGGCAUAGUAGAGGUGUAUUGUUUGGGGGCAAAGUGGUAAAGUUAUGUUAGAAGGUUAAGGGUUCAGUCAUGUAGGCUAAGAUCAAUGAUAGCUUUACAUGGAUGCCUGGAGCUAAAUAAGGUGAGUGGUGAAUAACCUCAUCUAGUUUUGUUGUGUUCUUUUUGUUUUCUCUUCUCGUCUUCAUACGCGCAACAAAAUCAAGUUUAUCAAAUAACAUCUCUAUUUUUUUUCCCUUUCUUGACUUUCAUCUCUCUCUCUCCCCUCAUAUGAUCCUCUACUUUUUGAUACCAUUGUGGAAGCUGCAUUAGAUCGCACCUACACAGUUAAAGCAGAGAAGCAGUAGCAGCAGUCUAACAAGCUACAACGUAGAACAUCAUAUUUUCAGAUUAAUUCAAUACAAUUCAGAUAUUAGGUUAAAUUCUAAUUAUCUGAUUGCUUGACCAGAUUAAUUAAUUCUUUCUACUUCAUUUGUUCAUGCUGACCUUAUAUUCUGGUUGUAUGUGGUUCUAAUCUUAAUCAAGUACAAAUCUGUAUCAUGUAAGU